rnacentral:lncRNA from 14 species
UUAGCAUUAAAAAAGCAUCAGAAUACAGAAGUCUGAGAGGACAAACUUUGGAAACUGAAAUACUUUCCAGAGAUUAUUUUACAGAUAUCUGUUGACAUCACAGGUAGUCUGAAACUCCUUAUGAAGUCUCAUUUAACAUCUUUAUUAUAAUGUUGUGAGAAUAGCAACUGACGGACCUCGGCUCCUUCACUCCUCUGGUGUUAAUGCAAACACCAUAAUCGGUACUGCUUUCCAUAUCCUUUUGGAUAAUGUAGCCUGCACAUCCCACUGCAGUUAUCCCUCUCUGCUGAAUGCUGUAUGUGGAAGAGAAGAGCAGGCUGACAUUGGUGGAGAUAAAUGACUUUUAAAAUAACUGGAAAAUCCGUCGGGUGCCGAGAAGAAAACCAGUGUAAGUUACGUGCAGAAUCAGCGAGGCUGGAAGAGCUGAGCAGAGCCUGGAAAGGAGUCUCAGAGGACUGCGAGACAUCGGCAGGUGGCAGCAUCGUCCCAGCAUGGUUUUAUCAGACUCAGGAAUCAAAAGUCAAGCCCAAGAUAACGAAUCCCCUCCAGUUUCAACUAUUCAGUUCACAAUGAAGUUGGUUUAUCUUCAACUACAAACCAAUUAGACUUUCACCCUGACACACUGGUGAAGUGGUAGUAUUAUUUUUGCUUUUGAUUGCUUUAAAUCUAACCACUACUGUAGACACAGAAUUAUUCAAUCUUGAUUAAACAUUUUCAAGCCGUCUCACUAAGCCAAUUAUGUGCACAUACAUUUACACACACCUUUCUCACAGUAAAUUAGUAACAGUUGCUUAUAUGGUUAAUAGUUCAGAAAAUGAAGUUCUCCCUUCAGAGGUGUAUUGUUACUGCCAUAAUGUACACCCCAAAUUGACACUACAUCAUUGUGUAUGCAGGUUCUACUUAAAGUGAUGGUAGACUGAAGCACCAGGAUUCAUUAAAUCAGGCAGAGUUUCUCAUUAAAUGUGUAGAUUGACACUCAGAACUGACUGUCAUUUGUGGUUUUUUUUUUUGGAGCUGUUUNNNNNNNNNNNNNNNNNNNNUUUUUUUUUUGGAGCUGUUUUUUUGCAGCUGUUUUCUCGUGCCAUCAAUGCUUUAUUUGGAGUGAAACUUUACCAGCCGGUGGCUGAGAUGUAGCUGAUUUGUGGGGGGAAAAAAACAAGUCAAAAUAUAUUUUGCAUUAUUAUCUUUCUGGAAAAGACAACUGGAAGCUUUUCAGAUUUAAGUUCUUGAUCUUGUCUUCUCCUUAUUUUUUUUCUCUGUGUCUAAUUUAUACCCUGAACAAUGUAUGCUAUCUGGUUUGCAAUGUGCAGUGUAUACCUGUACAUUUGUUUUCUAAAGGGAACCCAGUUAGCCCUCAUCUAUUUUCUAAUAUAAACUCCUCUGCAGAGGUGUUAGCAAGUAUAUUUCAUUUUAACUGUGCCCUAUAAAUCCUUCAUGGAAAAUUCCA